AUGCUGAAUACUCCUGAAAUUGCCAGCUUGCUAGGUAAUAAAACUAAAAGAAUGCUGCACAUGGUCAGGCUGACCAAAAAGAUUGAUGGUGAGGAACCACAUAUGCAUGCAAGAUUCUCCAAGAUGGAGGAAGGGAAAAGAAUUGAUGUUUCGAUGUUGGUGACAAUGCCUCUGAAUUCUCCCACCGCUCUUGGGAAUGUCACACACAAAGGACCUCACACUACUACUAUGUGACAGCAACUAGAUGGUGAGCAAGUGAAAUCAGUUCAAAGCCUGGUUGGAGACCAUGUCUGUAGCUUGCCAGUCACCUUAAUUAGAAGACAAACUACUCCCAUUAGAAGGCUAUCCUAUUCUUGAAAUCAGUAAGUUAAUGUUAUGAUAAAGUCAUUAUUCUGAGAAAAUACACUGUGUGAACAUGGGAAUUAUUGGGGUUUGUUCCAAGUCUAAAAGGGCAGGCAUUCUUUGAGUAUCAGCAUUCAGACAGGGUUACUAUUAAGCAAAUUGAGAACAAAAAGUUCUCUUCAAUAUGUUAAGUGGGCAUAUUACUACCAAAGCAAACUCUUUUCCUUUGCUUUAUAAUUACUCUUCAAUAGAGAAUAUUAUUUCCUGUGCAGUGUAUAAACCAUAUAUGUUCAUUUUAGAAAAGCUGAAGUAAAUUCCUCAAAAAUAUAAUGAAGAUGGAAACUCAUAAUCAUGUAACUCUGAGAUAGCUACUGUGUAUACAAUAUUGUUAGAG
rnacentral:lncRNA from 1 species